GUUCCCAAUGCCGUGUUUUUAAGCUUCUUGAGAGCACAGAAAACACUACAACUUUCAAGACAAAAACACUACAUUUAUUUAAAAAACUUUCAAUCUUUCACCUCUCGUCUGUGGAUUCAUAAAAGAUGUUUCAUAAAGUUUAGAAAAAUCAUUUAUCUCUGGUUUCUUUUUCUGGUUCUACGUUUUUUUUUCUAUGGUUGCAGGAAUUUUGGUGACUUGAUGCUUUUGUUGCCUCAAAUAGCUAUAAUUUUGUGGGAUAAAGUUAGAGUAAGAAUUUUUUUUUAAAUAUGGAGAGUACUGUGAUAUUUUGCAGUAUUUAUCUUGUUGUGAAUUGAAGUCAAAACAAGUUAAAAAACUUAGCUGAUCUGUGUGAAAACAAGAAGCUCCGAUGUUGUGUUUGUCUUGUGUAACCAUGAAGUUUUCCACCGUAAAUUACAACAAAACUUUUAGGAUUUUUUGUCGUUUCUGUGAAAUGAAGUUUGGUUUUCUGAUAGACCUGGAAAACUUAAAGCUACGUUCACACCGCCCUCAGCAACACGAGUUUAUAUGUGGGUCUACCAUAUGAGCAUUUCAUUCUUCUGCGUUCAUAACCUUUGCGUUCACGCGUCACUACACAAGUUUCUGAGUCUUUUUGAGCCCUAUAAACGCAUCGACAUUGAACACACGUUACAAGUUAGGAGGAUGCAGGAGAUCUGGUGCAGACUUGGAUUGGACAAAUCAUUAAAAACUUUUUGAAUUGAUGAAAACAAACAUUCUGGCAUUCUUUAACGCAUAUUUUAAUGCACAAAAGAUCUAAACUAAAACUUUAAAGAGUGAACUUUUAAAGAAACUGCAGAAUUUUCCAAUUACAACAAACAAAGACCAGCAUCCUCUUCAUUAACGAGCAGACUGGAGUAAUUAAACCCUGCUUGCGAUUGGCUCCGCCCUGGCAGAGAGGGAUGGCUCCUCAUUACUUCCUGCGUUCUAAUUGGUCUCUGCAGGCAGCAGGUGCCAGGUACUUAAUGAGGCCUGUUGUGGUUGAUGUACGACCGCCGUGACGUCCAUCCAGCUGCACUGCAGAUGAUGAUGAUGCCUGUGAGGCUAAUAAUGCAUGAAAUAGGAGCCACUGUGAGGACCAGAGAUGGAUGUUUCAGAUCAACUUAUCUUGGUGAAAGGUGAACCAAAGAUCACGCUGCAGCUCCAGCUGUGUGCAGAGUUCCUGUCUGACAGAGCUGCACUAAUGUCAUGAAUGAUCAUCUGAAGAAGAAAUUGUGAAGAAGAGAUGGCUGUAGUUUGACAGUCUCAAAUGGAGAUAAUAAACCAACAGAAAUGUG